AACGGCGUGUAAAGGGCGGAUCUUUGGUUUGGUUUCAUUAAUGUUGGACAAAUAGGGCUACAGAGCGUGCGGAAAUAUGGUUAAUGGGGAACCACACCCCGAAACCGAUCAACUUUCUUGCGAUCCCAGGAUCUGGCUGAACUCCCGGACUGUGGCUGUACUGUGUCCAUUUGGGAUAAGUCCACCACUGUGUCAUUUUCUACAGAAUAUUGCACCCCAGCAGGACCAUCAGGAAUAUGGAGACUCAGGCCUCCUGCAGAUGGGCACAAAAUGUCAUUGAGGCAGAGACCCCCCUUCAGUGAAUCCUAAAAUAAUAUCAUCGUUGACAUGCUCCAUCAACAUGGUGCAGUUCUUCUGGGAAGGGGUCAUCCCAAUAUGCAAGAAAGACUCAGAGUAUGGCAGCAGA